UACGGGGGGGGCAAGCGUUGUUCGGAAUUACUGGGCGUAAAGGGCUCGUAGGCGGCUAACUAAGUCAGACGUGAAAUCCCCAGGCUCAACCUGGGAACUGCGUCUGAUACUGGAUGGCUUGAAUCCGGGAGAGGGAUGCAGAAUUCCAGGUGUAGCGGUGAAAUGCGUAGAUAUCUGGAGGAAUACCGGUGGCGAAGGCGGCAUCCUGGACCGGCAUUGACGCUGAGGAGCGAAAGCUAGGGGAGCAAACGGG
rnacentral:rRNA from 1 species